GAUGAACGCUGGCGGCGUGCCUAAUACAUGCAAGUCGAGCGAACAGACGAGGAGCUUGCUCCUCUGACGUUAGCGGCGGACGGGUGAGUAACACGUGGAUAACCUACCUAUAAGACUGGGAUAACUUCGGGAAACCGGAGCUAAUACCGGAUAAUAUAUUGAACCGCAUGGUUCAAUAGUGAAAGACGGUUUUGCUGUCACUUAUAGAUGGAUCCGCGCCGCAUUAGCUAGUUGGUAAGGUAACGGCUUACCAAGGCAACGAUGCGUAGCCGACCUGAGAGGGUGAUCGGCCAAACUGGAACUGAGACACGGUCCAGACUCCUACGGGAGGCAGCAGUAGGGAAUCUUCCGCAGUGGGCGAAAGCUUGACGGAGCAACGCCGCGUGAGUGAUGAAGGUCUUCGGAUCGUAAAACUCUGUUAUUAGGGAAGAACAAAUGUGUAAGUACUAUGCACGUCUUGACGGUACCUAAUCAGAAAGCCACGGCUAACUACGUG
rnacentral:rRNA from 1 species